GGUAUUUUAACAUAAAAUAAUCAUAAAAAUAAAUUUUUAAUAUAUACACUGAAGCCUACCCCAUCCUCCGCCUCCUCUUCCAAACACCCCUUUGGUAUCUUCUUCUUCACUUCUCUCCCUGUUACAUGUCCAAAAUCCUGUUAUUGACAACACGUUUCAGUCAUUGAGUGUUACUAAUAAAAAGAGACAACAAAUACGCCUUACUUCAACAAUUCACAAUACCAGAAAUUUUGCACUAUUAACUUCUCCUUCUUACCUGAAGUGGUCCGUUUUUGUAAAUUUCUGUCAUGAUUCUGUGGGUAUUACAGCUGAUCCUGUAUGAAUUGACAACAUAAUGCUUUGAUUUCCCCAUUUUUGGACACACCUCCGACGUGAACAAUCAAGGUGGGGACAUCUCUCUGGUCAAAGUAAGGAUCACUCCUUCAUUUUUUCACCAAAACAAUUUCAAAUGAAUUUGUGUAUUUUAGGUAUUUGAAAUUACCAUGAAUUAGUGUAUUUUGGAUAUUUAAAUUUGGGUAAUUAAAGAUGGAUUGUUUGCAGUCGGAAGAAGGGAAGGAAGGAGGAAAAAGCCAUUAAUUUAAUUUUAUUGUAUAUAUAAAAUAUCACCGAUUUCAAAUUCAAUUUGAAGAAAUAAAAUGAUAUGUUUAACAUUUAUGGAAGAUUGGCAAGGAUACAAUGGAGAAGAAGAUGAUAAUUUUUCUUUUUAUUUCUUUUAUGUGUUUUUUAAUUACUUUUAGGUGUCUUUUUUUGAUUGGUUGUGUUUUUUUAUAUUUAAUUUUUUUUAUUAAUUAUGGCUUCUCACUCUCCGUGUAUUACACAUGUCAUGCCAUGUCAGCAAUUGAAAUAUUUUUGUGAAGGAGUAAAGGGUUCAAUAGAUAUCUGGCCUAAUUAAGUACAGAAAAAGUCGAAUAGUUGAGUGACCUGUAUAUGUAUUUUUAUAUCCACAGGUUAUGUAUGUUAGCUAAUAAAAUUUUCAGGAGCAUGAAGAAAAUGAAUAAACUGAAUUUUUGUAAUAGUGUAUAUGUUUACAUAUACAUAGCACAUCAUAACGUAGUAAUAUAUGUUGAAGAAUAUACAUAAAUGUACAUGUAAUCUUACCUAAUAAACAUAGGUGAGUCAAAGUUUACAUAUACAGGUUAUGUAUGUUAGCUAAUAUACAUAGCAGAAUUUUUUAAACAAACAAAAAAAAUAAAAUAAAUCAACCUAAAAUUUUAAAUUGAAAUAAACUCAAACUUAUUUCAACGCAUCAAUGAAGUAAUUUAUAAAUAAUUAAUAACACAAAAUUAAUUAUUAAUAUUCAAUAGUAUAGAAAAACAGUAAGUUAGUUCAAGAGUAUAUGAAAAAUCAAUAACAUGUGUUUUUUUCGAUUUUACAACUACUAUAUGUUUACAUAUACAAAUCACAGAUUAUAUUGUAGCUAUGUAUGUUAAAUGAUAUACAUUAAUGUAUAUUUAAAUUACAUAAUACAGAUAAAUGAUUUAAAGGCUAUAUAUACCGGUUAUGUAUGUUAGCUAAUAUACAUAACUGUGUGACAUACUAAUUACAAACAUUACUCAAAGUGACCCAGCGUCCACAUAAACAAUACAAAUAAAAAAAAAAGUAACACUGAAAUUUCAAAACGAAAGUAAACUAAAAUUUAUUUCAACGAAAAAAUAUGAAACUGAAACAUAUCAAUCAAGUAAUUCCUAAAAAAAUGAUAACAAAAAUCAGUGAUUACUCUCCACGAGUAGAGCAAACAAAAAAUUAGUUCUCCUUUGAAAAAAAAUUAUAUGAACGCCUAUUGUGCCCUUCAUGUCCACAUCAUCCACAACGGUUUGUGCUUGACGAAAGUGUUUCGUUGGAUUUCUUCUUUCGCCCCUUCUUCGGUCUUCCUGGAAGUCUUUUGUAUAUCGAUGGCAACACUUCUUCCUCAUCUACACUUUUCAUGACAUCCCAAUUUUUCUUAUCUAACAUCGGAAUGAUUGGAACUUUGUAUGUCUUAACCAAUGUGUUUGGCUUGUAGUAUUCUGAACAGUAUGGUCUAAAAUCUUUUACAUGUUUAGACUUCAACACAGAUAUAGCUGCGCACAAGGCAUUUGGUCUAUUUAAAACCUCGCACAGUUGCAUGAGCCACUUUCAAGGUCAACAAUGUAUCUUCUCCCAGAUUUAUACCGAAUAUAUAUAUAUUCAACCACAGAUUUUUUUUUCGGAAAAAAUAAAUUUAAUUCGUACAUCAAUAAAGAAGCCUUUUGGCAAGUUGCUAGACAUAACUUACAUCAAUAUUGUUUUCGCACUGUAAUGUUUAAUUCGUCGGCGAUUGAAGAAAUAAACCUCAAGUAACUUAUCGAUUCAGCAGCAACGAUCCCUUCACUUUUAUAGUUUACAUUCUGUAUCGGUUCUCCAUUGACUAGAGUGCCUCAAAAGAAUAGCAAUAUUCAUCUUACAGAAUUCCAAUUGAAGUUUUUUUCUUCAGAGCUAUAAUGAAAUCAGUGUUUUGAUUUGUUUUUUGGUGUUUAAUUUCCGUAUGUUUUUAUUUUACUAUAUUUGAUUAAUUUAAAAUUUAAAAUUCAGAAGUUGUUACACAAAUUAAGGAAGCAUUAAUUCACUUAAUUAAUUAGUUGACUUAACAACAUCAUUAAAUCAAGGGAAUACGUUAGUUCCUUUUUUAACGUUAGUAAAACUUUCAAAUAUACAUAACAAGCUAUGUAUAUGCAUUUUUCUUAUGUAUGUUAAAAGGGAGAGAGAGUAAACUAAUUAAUAAAAGUGGGAUAGGGUGUGAUUAGUUCUAAAAGUUUGGGAUUUGUGUUAUUUACACUUUUAAAAUAGGAGUUAAUAUGAAAUUUAAAAAAAAUGAUUUAGAAUGGAACCUCCCUUAAAUGAAAAUAAUAGAGUUCGAAGCUAAAAGAGACUCUUUUUCAAUCUUAGGAGACAAAACGGAUGUUACAAAACGAACAGUUUGCCCAAAAAUGAAUAAAAUAAAGUGAACAACAAAACAUAUUCUAUAAGUGAAAAAGUUGUACCAUUUCUCAAAAAUUGAAGUGACAAAACGUUCACAAUAAGAAUCUUUUCAGAAAUAUUAACAUUGUAAUGUUUAAUCAGUUAUCAGUCGAAUCUCUUAGGGGAAGAAACAUAUUGUACCAUUUCUCAAAAAUUGAAGUGACAAAACGUUCACAAUAAGAAUCUUUUCAGAAAUAUUAACAUUGUAAUGUUUAAUCAGUUAUCAGUCGAAUCUCUCAGGGGAAGAAACAUAGUUUGCCCAAAUAAAAGUAAUUUGCCGGCAGAUGGACAAACUAUUAAAAAAAGAUUUAUGAAAAUGUAGUUUGCGCAUUUUUGGGCAAACCCCAUUAACAUUUUUUUCCUCCCCAAACGUUCACAGACGGAUUUAGUUGUAGUUUGCUCGUUUUUGGGCAAACUGUCCGUUUUGUAACAUAAACAAAAGUAUUGUCCGUUUUGGCUCCUAAGAUUGAAAACGAGUCCCUUUUAGGUCUGGACUCAAAACAAUAGGUGUCUAAGUUAUGCUUUCAUCUAUUCAAAAGAAUGAAAUACAUAAAAAUGACCCUCCAAUAUAGGUGUGUGCACAUAAUAUUGGCAUGUUCUGUUUAGCACCAUUGUCAUAUGAUCAGAAGGAGGUUCCGAGUUCGAGCUGUGAAAACCGCAUGCACGGUAACACUGCACACAAUAGACCCUUGUGGUCAGGUCAGGUCCUUCCCCGGACCCUACACGUAGAGGGGGCUUAGUGCACCGGGUUGUGUUUAGUACCAUAAUUCACAAGAGGGGACAAUAGUAUCAUGCCUCACUAUUGUUAUUAUUUGUCUUUUGGAGAGUAAUGUAAAGUAAAUGUUCAUUUUGCUAACCCAAACAUGUUGUAGUUCACUCAAUGAUGAUUCAUUCAAACAGGCACAGGUUCAGAAACACUGUCAUUUUCAUCUUGAUCCAAAUUAUCAUAGUAUUCCACCAAAACUUUCCAACCACCCGGGCACAUAAAUCCAUCCGGAGGGCUCUCCUUGUUCUUUGCAAGCGUUCGCAUCUGAAAGAAAAAAGAAAGCAUGAACUACAACGUACUUUUGAACGACGACAGCACAAUAAGUGAUCUCGUACAAUCUAAUGAAGUGGUCCUUUCCGGGGUGUGUGUAUAAAAAAUAUAUGUUGCUCGGAUUCUCUAAAAAAACUGCAGUGUCUGAUCCUCCAAAACUGCACUCGUUUUUGGAGGAUCCGACAUGUACCGGCCAACAGUUUUCAAGAGUCCGAGCAUCGUAGCAUGUAAUGAAGUGGUCCUUUCCGGGGUGUGUGUAUAAAACCUACGUCGCUCGGAUUCUCUAAAGUUACUGUAGAGUCUGAUCCUCCAAAACUGCAGUAUCUUUCGGAGGAUCCGACACGUACCAGCCAACAGUUUUCAAGAGUCCGAGCAUCGUAGAAUGUAAUGAAGUGGUCCUUUCCGGGGUGUGUGUAAAACCUACGUCGCUCGGAUUCUCUAAAGUUACGGUAGAGUCUGAUCCUCCAAAACUGCACUCGUUUUUGGAGGAUCCGACAUGUACCCAGCCAACAGUUUUCAAGAGUCCGAGCAUCGUAGAAUGUAAUGAAGUGAUCCUUUCCGGGGUGUGUAUAAAACCUACGUCGCUCGGAUUCUCUAAAGUUACUGUAGAGUCUGAUCCUCCAAAACUGCAGUAUUUUUCGGAGGAUCAGACACGUACCAGCCAACAUUUUUCAAGAGUCCGAGCAUCGUAGAAUGUAAUGAAGUGGUCUGACAUUUUUGAAGAGUCUGAGCCACAUAGCUAUAAAAACAUUGAAAGUCGAUGGCGAGAUAGAAACCUUGGUGCCUGAAAUGAAGAUAAAAUCUUGAGGCCUAGAGGAGUCGAAGAAAGCCAUUCCAUUCUUAGUCUUGUCAUAUGCAGCCACCUACAAGUAAAUUUAGUAUUCCCAUUAGAGCUUGAAAAUAAAAAAGGAAAGACGUGUUGCGCUUUGACCACGGCUAAAUUGUUGCCAUACCUUGAAAGGUAAGAUAUUCAGCCGUUCUAGUCCCGGAGCCAUACUGAGGACUUUCUUGCCGUGAUCAGCAUCAUACAGAUCUCUCUUCUCCAGAGGAUGAGCUAUUCCGGCUGGAUCUCGUCCCACGAUAUAAAAGUUAGCACCUGCAUUGAUGCGAGCCUUUGCAUGCCAUUGCACCUCGGUUGGACCAGCAUAAUGCAUGGGCGAUGGGAAUAUAGAAAGCACAGUUGUCUCUGGAUCAAGCACCCCAUCUUCGAGAACCUGCAAAGAGUUCCAGUUGUGUAUCGAAGUAAGAAAGCAACACCACGUAAGUACAUGAAUCAAAUUGAAUAGGAGAAUCAAAUUUUAGCAAGGAUUUCAGUCACUGAAAGGGAUCAAAAGAAACCGGGGCCUUUCAAGAUUCUUACAGCAGUACUUGACACAAGAAAUAGACGCUUUCAGAAGUGAACAUAAGUCAGAAGGUACUUUGAGCAAAAACGCCUAGGGAUGUCAAAUGAGCGGGUCAUGUUUUCCAGUUGAAGGAGGGAAAAAUCAUGUAGCGUAGUGUUUCAUUGCUUUAUUUUACUGCCAAAACGGAAAAAAUAUAGGCUUCGUAAAAAAAAAAGCAUAACCUUUUCAUGUUGCUUCAUUCUCCAAUGAAGUGGAACAUCAUCUUCCUUUGUGUAACCUCCAAGAGGAUGAAGCAAAAGGACAGGGUUCUUAUAUCCCAUUUCGAGAAGUCGCCCACGUGUGUCAUUCAUCAGUAAUGCAUGGCCAUUAUGCACGGGGUUUCUCAGUUGAAAAGCAAAAACUGCAUCUGCAUUACGCCUUGUAAAUUCAUCACGAAGUUCAGCUGGAGAAAGUCGGAACCUGUCAAGACCAUCAUGGUACUUGACUGGAUCUAUAACUUUCAAAUCGCCACCAAUUAGCCAGUUUCCCGCAUGAGUUAUAGCUUCAUCCACAUAUGGAAGACCUGGGGCAGUGGUGCCCCAAGUUCUUGCUAUCCGUUCUUCUUUGUUAUGCUUGUAGAUCUCGAUACUACAAUUAUACAUCGAGAAGGUAGAGAGGUUGUUUCCAAUAGACCUUCAGCUCGAGUAGAACAUGUCAAAAAUCAAAUACAUAAAGCAAAUACAGUGGUGAAGAAGCCAACGGAAAGAGAACAGUAGCAACAACAAAUAAUACGAUAACCAAAGUCGAGGAGACUAAUGAAAACAAAUGGUGUCUUAAGUUAUGUUCUCAUCUAUUCAGAAAGAAUGAAAUGCAUAUAAUGACACUCCAAAUUCUGGACUACAUAGUACCUAUAAAAUAGGUGCAUCACAAAUGUGUGAAUAAAUUUAGUAUUAUAAUUUACAAGAUGGAGAAAAUUUUCUCAACCUACUAUAUCAUGCUUCACUAUUAUUAUUUGUUUCUUGAAGAAUAAUGUCUAAAUUAAAUCUUCAGACACAUACUAGGGGGGGAAAAUGCUAAUUUUUCUACCCCAAAUGUGUUGUUGUUCAAGAAGGGACAGGUUCAGCAACUCUGCCAUUUUCAGCUGAUGCCAAACUAUCAUAGUAUUCCACCAAAACUUUCCAACCACCCGGGCACAUAAAUCCGUCUGGAGGGUUCUCCUUGUUCUUUGCAAGCGUCCGCAUCUGGAGAAAAAAAUAAGAAAGCAUUAAUUGUGUGAUAUUGUUUGUCAGACAGCGGCGGAAGAACUGAUCUAGCAUCGUGGAAUGUAAUGAAAGUGGUCCUUUCCGGGGGUUGAGGGUGGCGUGGGUAUAAUCUGUGUUGUUCGGAUUCUACAAUAUACUGCCGGCACAGUGUCGGAUCCUCCAAAAAAUGCACUACUUUCAAAAAAUCUGAUAUGUACACGCCAACAUUUUUGAAGAAUCCGAGCAUUGCAGUGUAAUAAAGUGGUCCUUUCUGGGGGGGUAUUGGUGGUCCAAUGGGAUAAAACCUAUGUUGCUCGGAUUCUCCAAUAUACUGCUGGCACAGUGCCAGAUCCUCCAAAAAAUGCACUAUUUUCGAAAAAACUGACACGUACACGCCAACAUUUUUGAAGAAUCCGAGCAUUGUAAAGUGGUCCUUUCCGGGGGUAUUGGGGGGUCCAAUGGGGUAAAAUCUAUGUUGCUCGGACUCUCCAAAAAUACCGUCACACCGCGUUGGAUCCUCCAAAAGUGCUCUACUUUUGGAAGAUGCAACAAAUACCCAUGCCAGCAUUUUUGAAGAGUCCAGGCGACAUAGGGUAAAACACUUAAAGCCAAUGGAGAGAUAGAAACCUUGGUGCCUGAAAUGAAGAUAAAAUCUUGAGGCCUAGAGGAGUCGAAGAAAGCCAUUCCAUUCUUAGUCUUGUCAUAUGCAGCCACCUACAAGUAAAUUUAGUAUUCCCAUUAGAGCUUGAAAAUAAAAAAGGAAAGACGUGUUGCGCUUUGACCACGGCUAAAUUGUUGCCAUACCUUGAAAGGUAAGAUAUUCAGCCGUUCUAGUCCCGGAGCCAUACUGAGGACUUUCUUGCCGUGAUCAGCAUCAUACAGAUCUCUCUUCUCCAGAGGAUGAGCUAUUCCGGCUGGAUCUCGUCCCACGAUAUAAAAGUUAGCACCUGCAUUGAUGCGAGCCUUUGCAUGCCAUUGCACCUCGGUUGGACCAGCAUAAUGCAUGGGCGAUGGGAAUAUAGAAAGCACAGUUGUCUCUGGAUCAAGCACCCCAUCUUCGAGAACCUGCAAAGAGUUCCAGUUGUGUAUCGAAGUAAGAAAGCAACACCACGUAAGUACAUGAAUCAAAUUGAAUAGGAGAAUCAAAUUUUAGCAAGGAUUUCAGUCACUGAAAGGGAUCAAAAGAAACCGGGGCCUUUCAAGAUUCUUACAGCAGUACUUGACACAAGAAAUAGACGCUUUCAGAAGUGAACAUAAGUCAGAAGGUACUUUGAGCAAAAACGCCUAGGGAUGUCAAAUGAGCGGGUCAUGUUUUCCAGCCUAGGGAUGUCAAAUGAGCGGGUCAUGUUUUCCAGUUGAAGGAGGGAAAAAUCAUGUAGCGUAGUGUUUCAUUGCUUUAUUUUACUGCCAAAACGGAAAAAAUAUAGGCUUCGUAAAAAAAAAAGCAUAACCUUUUCAUGUUGCUUCAUUCUCCAAUGAAGUGGAACAUCAUCUUCCUUUGUGUAACCUCCAAGAGGAUGAAGCAAAAGGACAGGGUUCUUAUAUCCCAUUUCGAGAAGUCGCCCACGUGUGUCAUUCAUCCAAUAAGCCAGUUUCCAGAAUGCGUUAUAGCUUCAUCCGCAUAAGGAAGACCUGGGGCAGUAGUGCCCCAAGUUCUUGCUAUCCGUUCUUCUUUGUUAUGCUUGUAGAUCUCGAUACUACAAUUAUCAAAUCAACAGACCAAUAAGCCAGUUUCCAGAAUGCGUUAUAGCUUCAUCCGCAUAAGGAAGACCUGGGGCAGUAGUGCCCCAAGUUCUUGCUAUCCGUUCUUCUUUGUUAUGCUUGUAGAUCUCGAUACUACAAUUAUCAAAUCAACAGCGAAAGACAUAAGACAUUGGAAGUACUUAUACUGCUGACAAGCAGAUAACAAAAAUGAUAAAAUUUGUAUAAAUCAAUUGCUAAACAAACAGUGCAGAAUAUUAGUCUGAUCAAUAUCUAAGAUACAUGCCAAAAAUGAAAUAAGCAUCGUUGUAUAAAUCACGUAGUAAUAAACACCUUUUAACUAAUUUCAGUCACUACAUUAACAAAGAAAAUUACUGAAAUUGGACUCGAGAAAAAUAUUCAUAUAGAGAUUCCACCAAUGUAUUAUUUGUUUGGGCUCUCUUAUGAUUUGCAAAAGUACUCUGAACAGACGAAGAGUAAAGAUCGGUGUCUUCCAGCUAACUGCUGAAGUUAAUUGUAAGGUGGUAUUUGUUUAGCAGAGGAAGAUUUUCUAAAGAAAGAACGGUAAACAUGUUAAUCUUUACGAAAGCACAUGGAAACCAGUCAAAACUUAUUUCGAUAAACAAAGUCGAAGCACGUGAUAAUCAAGCCUCAACAGGGAUAUUUUGAGCAUGAAAUGUUCUACCAUCCCUAAACCAGUAGAAAAUAAUCAAGCUCCUACUUUCUUAUCAGUGAAGGAGAGCCUUGGAGUAACUGGUAAAGUUGCUGCCAUGUGACCAGGAGGUCACGGGUUCAAGCCUUGGAAACAGCCUCUGGCAGAAAUGCAAGGUAAGGCUGCGUACGAUACACCCUUGUGGUGGGGCCCUACCCCGGACACCGCGCAUAGCGGUAGCUUUAGUGCACCGGGCUGCCCUUUUUCUACUUUCUUAUCAGCAACUUCAGAACUUCAACUCAAAGGUUAGACAUUUUCUUACAUGUCGCUGAUUCUUUUGGAGAUAUUUUGAGAAUGGAAUUUUCUUUUCAAGCAAGUUAAGAAAAUCCAUAACUGAAGCGGACGCGAAGAAGCAAGUUUUCUCCUGUGCUACUAGUCAUGACAAUGUUAUGGGGAGCACUAAAAAACAACACUUAAUCUCUUUUAGUUUAUCGUUACUCUUUAGACAAGGAUAAAAAGGACAGCUUGAUGCACUAAAGCUCCCGCUAUGCACAGAGUUCGGAGAAGGGCCCCACCACAAGGGUGUAUUGUACGCAGCCUUACCUUGUAUUUCUGUCAGAGGUUGUUUCCAAGGCUCUUUAGACAAGGAUGCUUGUUCAAAUAAGUCAAUUUUCACAUGGUAAACUACUAUGUGUUUUUUAACCAUUAGCCAAGAACAAAGAAAAGGUGAUGUUCAGUUCGAUCCUGCUUUCUUAUCAGCAACUUCAGAACUUCAACUCGAAGGUUAGUGAGUUAGUCAGAUAUAACAUGACAAUGAUUCUUUUGGAGAUAUUUUGUGAAUGAAUUUUCUUCUCAGGCAUGUUAAGAAAAUUCAUAACUGAAGCAGACGUGAAGAAGCAAGUUUUCUCCUGUGCUAAGGUUCAUCAGAUUUAACAUCAACGUGUUUAUGAAUAGCUUCGGAUUUCUUUUACAGUAAAAUAAACGUUUAAAAAAAGGUACUGCUUACUACAAACAAUUGCUCUUUUCCUCGAGUACCAUUAAGCCAUCACUUUUCUUUGAAUCCUGAAGAAAGAUUAACAACCCAAAAUAUGUCGCCCUAAUUGCCAUUUACAACGGCAAGAAUUAGCAUUAAAACUCCAUCUUUACUUUUGAAGAUCAAUUCAAAACACAUACUAUUACCAAUUACCAAAGCAAUCCAUUAAAAAAAACAUACUUUAAGCAAAACAUCUACAAUGUAGUUUAAAUAUUUUCUGUGAGCACACGUGUCAACAUUGACCUAGUGAACUGAAACGUUGAAGUAAUAGUCACAUCAACGUUGAAAAUAACAGUUUAAUGGAGGUGAAUUUUUUUUUUCAUAUUUUGACACCCCUUAGUGGAAAAUCUUCGCUCCGACACUGGUACCUGCUAUCAGUGUUUUUGUCUUUGCUGCUUAAUUUUGUAGACAUUGUAUGCAAAUAAAAAUAAUCAAAAAUAAAAGAGCUAAAUGAUCAAAAACACGCCUAAAAUGUCAUUUUUUUGGCGAAUUUCCUACCUCAACUGUCCAUUGUCCUUUUUAGCUACCUACACUAUCACUCCUUUUGUAGUUUUGAUGAAGAACUAUCACUCUUUUUGCAUUAAAAAAACCUCAAUACCGAGUUGGCCAAACAUUCAUCCCAAUCGACAACAAACACUUCUAAGCCAACUCAGCCUCGAGAUGUGUUUCAAUACAAAAGGAGUGAUAGUUGAGCUACGAAACUCGCAAAAAGAUACAUUCUUUACCAUCAACUAACAACCAAAAAAACAACAUCAACAACAAAAUAAAUUCCACUUACUCACUAAGAAUAGCAAUGGGGUUAUUUCCAUCAUCAACAAGAGCAACAUCGAGUUGUAUCUUAAUAUAAAACAAGUGCAGUUCAGGUAUGAAACUCGCGAAAAGGUGAAUUCUUUACCAUCAACUAACAACCAAAAAAGAAUUAUCACCAACAAAAUAAAUUCCACUUACUCACUAAGAAAGCAGUGGGGUUAUUUCCAUCAUCAACAAGAGCAACAUCGAGUUGUAUUUUAAUAUAAAACAACUGAUAGUUCAGGUAUGAAACUCACGAAAAGGAGCAUUCUUUACCAUCAACUAACAACCAAGAAAACAAAAUCAACAACAAAAUAUCCCCUUACUCACUAAGAAUAACAAUGGGGUUAUUUCCAUCAUCAACAAGAGCAACAUCGAGUUGUAUUUUAAUAUAAAAUAACUGAUAGUUCAGGUAUGAAACUCGUGAAAAGAUGCAUUCUUUACCAUCAACUAACAACCAAGAAAACAAUAUCAACGACAAAAUAUCCCCUUACUCACUAAGAAUAGCAAUGGGGUUAUUUCCAUCAUCAACAAGAGCAACAUCGAGUUGUAUUUUAAUAUAAAACAAGUGACAGUUCAGGUAUGAAACUCGCGAAAACAUGCAUUCUUUACCAUUAACUAACAACCAAGAAAACAAUAUCAACAACAAAAUAGAUUCCACUUACUCACUAAGAAUGGCAGUGGAAUUUAUUUCUUCAUCGAGUUUUAGGCCAACUCAACAUCAAGUUGUAUUUUAAUACAAAACAAGUGAUAGUUCAGGUAUGAAACUCGUGAAAAGAUCCAUUCUUUACCAUUAACUCAAACUCAAAAAAGCAAUUUCAAGAAAAAACAAAUUCCACUUACUUAGGCCAACUCAACAUCGAGUUGUUUUUAAUAUAAAACAAGUGAUCGUUAAGGUGUGAAACUCGCAAAAACGUGCAUUCUUUACUAUUAACUAACAACCAAAAAAAAAAUAUCAACAACAAAAUAAAUUGCACUUACUCACUAAGAAUAGCAAUGGGGUUAUUUUCAUCAUCAACAAGAGCAACAUCAAGUUGUAUUUUAAUAUAAAACAACUGAUAGUUCAGGUAUGAAACUCACGAAAAGGUGCAUUCUUUACCAUCAACUAACAACCAAGAAAACAAAAUCAACAACAAAAUAUCCCCUUACUUGCUAAGAAUAGCAAUGGGGUUAUUUCCAUCAUCAACAAGAGCAACAUCGAGUUGUAUUUUAAUAUAAAACAACUGAUAGUUCAGGUAUGAAACUUGCGAAAAGGUGCAUUCUUUACCAUCAACCAACAACCAAGAAAACAAUAUCAACAACAAAAUAUCCCCUUACUAAGAAUAGCAAUGGGGUUAUUUCCACCAUCAACUAGAGCAGCAUCGAGUUGUAUUUUAAUAUAAAACAAGUGACAGUUCAGGUAUGAAACUCGCGAAAACAUGCAUUCUUUACCAUUAACUAACAACCAAGAAAACAAUAUCAACAACAAAAUAAAUUCCACUUACUCACUAAGAAUGGCAAUGGGAUUUAUUUCUUCAUCGAGUUUUAGGCCAACUCAACAUCAAGUUGUAUUUUAAUACAAAACAAGUGAUAGUUCAGGUAUGAAACUCGUGAAAAGAUGCAUUCUUUACCAUCAACUCAAACUCAAAAAAACAAUUUCAAGAAAAAACAAAUUCCACUUACUUAGGCCAACUCAACAUUGAGUUGUAUUUUAACAUAAAACAAGUGAUAGUUCAGGCAUGAAACUCGCGAAAAGGUGCAUUCUUUACCAUUAACUAACAACCGAAAAAACAACAUCAACAACAAAAAAAGUCCACUUACUAAGAAUAGCAAUGGGAUUAUUUCCAUCAUCAACAAGAGCAACACUAGUCUCCCCACUAAAGCUCCCGCUAUGCAUAGGGUCUUGGGAAAGUCCCCACCACAAGAGUGUAUUGUACGCAGCCUUGCCUUGCAUUUCUGCCAGAGACUGCUUCCGAGGCUUGAACUCGUGACCUCCUGGUCACAUGGCAGCAACUAUACCAGUUACUCCAAGGUAUGAAAAUCGCAAAAAAGUGAUAAUUUAGACACGUAAAUAAAACAAGUGAUCGUUAAGGUAUGAAACUCGCGAAAAGGUGCAUUCUUUACCAUUAACUAACAACCAAAAAAAACAACAUCAACAACAAAACAAACUCCACUUACUCGCUAAGAAUAGCAAUGGGGUUAUUCUCAUCAUCAACAAGAGCAACACUAGUCACCCCACCAAUCUCAUCCUUCUUCAAAUAAUCAAUAGCAAGCACAAUUGGAACAGACAUGUUAACAAAAGAUCCAUCAUCAAUACGUAUACAGUUAAAAUGUAGUGUCUGUAAGUACUCAUUUUCUCUCAUAAAUCCUUUCAAUGGACUUGCCCAUCCUUCACUUAACACAUGUACCCAUUCAAUAUCAAUCUUGUUAACCUUAAUUUGUGGCAAUUUAUUUGCUUCUUCUCUCUUCAAUUCUCUUUGUGAUUCUUCAAUGAAGAGUUCAAUGAGUUUGCCUCCAUCAGGUUGGAUCAAUGAGCCGGAAUGGAUUCGGG
rnacentral:lncRNA from 1 species